UGGGGAAUAUUGGACAAUGGGGGCAACCCUGAUCCAGCGAUGCCGCGUGUGUGAAGAAGGCCUGCGGGUUGUAAAGCACUUUCGGUAGGGAGGAGAUUUGGUUGGUUAAGAGCUGACUGAAGAGACGUUACCUACAGAAGAAGCACCGGCUAACUCCGUGCCAGCAGCCGCGGUAAUACGGAGGGUGCAAGCGUUAAUCGGAAUGACUGGGCGUAAAGGGUGCGUAGGCGGUUUAAUAAGUUAAGUGUGAAAUUCCCGGGCUCAACCUGGGGUAGUCAUUUAAGACUGUUAGACUUGAGUAUGGGAGAGGGUAGUGGAAUUUCCGGUGUAGCGGUGAAAUGCGUAGAGAUCGGAAGGAACACCAGUGGCGAAGGCGGCUACCUGGCCUAAUACUGACGCUGAGGCACGAAAGCAUGGGGAGCAAACAGGAUUAGAUACCCCCGUAGUCC
rnacentral:rRNA from 1 species